ACCUGCGUCACACAAGAGGCAUCUCGAUCGACCUUAGAUAACCUGCAAUAACAUAGUUUGUGUCUCAAGAGAUGUGUUGACAAUAACUAAGUUGAACUAAAUAAAUAUUCUGAAUUAAUAGCUUUGGCCACACAGUGAUAAACGUUCACUGCCUAUCAGUCGUAUUAUCCAAGAACAAAGCAAAACAAAGUAUGAUAGGAUUCCUAUGCCUAUUACUAUUGUAUACAAUAGAAGAUAACCUAAAAAAGUCAUUCGUUAACUUUAUUAUCACGGAUAUUGAAAGGAAGGCAAUGGUCCCUUUAACCGGAUGAAACGAGAAAAUUAACACCAUUUUAAAAUGGUUUUGAAUAGGCAGAUAUCACUGAUAUUGCUAAUUAAAUAUUAGUAUUGUAAACCAAGGCAUGGAGACACCUUUCUUCCAGAUAUUUAAUAAUAUAUCUAUGGACAGGCCAUGGAAAAGUUAAACAAGCCAUGCACGCUGGAUUGACAUCUUAAAUUUAAAUCCAGAAAACUACCUGGGGUUGUCAAAAGGACAGGGCAUAUCAUCGUUUUGAAUAAAUCAGUGUUUUUCAAUACUAAAUAAGAGAACAAUCCAACUGUUUUGCUGCAAUGUACCUGCUAUUUAACUUCAAUACAAAUCAAUUAUAAAACAAGCUUUCUAUAUCCAGACUGUGCAAAAGAUUCAACCGAAUCAUAGAAGUUAGAAACAUUCAUUCAAAAGUCUCAUCCAUUGCAGCUUUACAAUUAACAAAAAUAAAUGUACUUACAUAUUGAAUUUUUAGAUAUUGAUAUUUUUAGAAGAUUAAGAUAUUUAUAUUAUACGAAUUACUUGUGAAUCGAAUGAUACAUCACAGUCUAAACCUUGAAAUACGUCGAAGACUGACGACGCAGAAUACAUGACAGCAGAAAGUGUAAUAAAUCAUUGAGAACUUAAACGUCGACCUGGUAUAUU